GUCUACAGCCAUGCUACCCUGAACAAGCCUGAUCCCGUCUGAUCUCAGAAGCUAAGCAGGGUCGGGCCUGGUUAGUGCUUGGAUGGGAGACUACCUAGGAAGACCAGGUGCUGUAGGUG
rnacentral:rRNA from 1 species